rnacentral:lncRNA from 1 species
UGCUGUCGCCACCGCCGCUGCCCGUGCCGCCCGCUGGCCUGAUCCAGGUGUCAAGUUUUUGCACCUGCCACCUUCUCAUCUCUUUCCUCUUCUCCUUUCUCUUCUCGUACUCCCGUUCUUCUGGGGCGCGGGGAGGGGGCGGCAGGUGGCGGUGGGCACGGCUCUAGAAUGUAAUGUCACUUUGCAGCCGGUGGGGCCAGGCUGGGAGAGGGCGAGAAGACGCUGGGUAAGGGAGAGCUGGGGAGUGAGAGAUUGGAAUCUGGCAUUUUCUUCCCACUGCGUCAGCCAGCUACCGGCAGGUGACCCUUAGUUUGCCCGUCUGUAAAGCGGCGGGUAACCAUUGUUAGCGCCCUGCCUACUUUAAGCGGGGAUCAGCUGGGACUCCGGAGGCUCUGUGGGGCUCUGUCUCGGACGCUGCACCCUCUCCCCCACCGGCCUUCUUCACCAGCCUCUCCCCCACCCAGGUCCCUUUAAUCUCACACUUACCUGACCCCAGGGGCAGAACCUGCUGACCCCAAGCCUAAGGCGAUUUGGGAACCUGCCUUCUGGUCCAGGUUGAGAGAGCUCAUUUAAUGGGGUGGGCUAAGGGGCAGGCUUGCCUUCCUCAGUGCACCGGUGCCCUCCUUGUCUUGGCAGCCUCCCUGCGCCCACCCCCAGCCUACCCUCAUUUCCCCACCCUCAGCGGCCCCAGCUCCUCAGCACUCCCAGCUGGGCGCUCUUGUCAGCUGGUCCCACCCCUGGUGCCUGCUCCUGUCCAAGCCCUGGGGUCCGAGCCUGGAGCUGCCCCCUGGAUCCCGCUGUGCACCUCUGCUGGGACCCAAAGCCAUUGGCGAGUUGUCUUCAGCCACCCAGGUGCAGGUUUGCUAGGAGCCUUCCCCUGUGCCCAGGCCGUGUGCUGUCAGGUGAGGCUGUGGUCUUUAAACAGCCCCCCUGUCUCCUGGUCUGAAGGAGGGGGUGGUCCCCCUGCCUCACAUUCUUGA